UAAGGGGGCAUCCAGCAUACUUUUAGUUUUAACUUGAAGAAAUUAGAAUUUAAUUUGGUCACAUGUUUACAUGACCUAAAAUGAAGACGAUAUAUUCCAAGGCUGAAAAUUAACCAAACGUAAGAAUUAAUAUAUGUGUAUUUCCAUUAAAAAAAAAAAAAGUAAACAGAAGGCCAACUCAUGUAGUCCUGAACGGGAAAUUUUAAAGGUAACAACUUUAAUUUUUUAAUCAAUCCAUUCAUUAAGACAUCGAUUCAAAAAAUACCUACUGAAUCCCUACUAAUGUGUCAGGUCAAGAGGCAGCAAUGAGGGAGAGAGAAUCUUUACUCCUACAGAGUAUAUAGUUUAUUGUGAGAAACGGAUAUCGUCAAAUAAUCAUACACCUAAACGCGAAAGAGAGACGGAACCGUUACAAACGUGAGACUCUGGUGCAGCAUAGGUUUACUGUAUUCAGAACCCACCCGGUUGAGGAGCUUGGGGAUAAUAUCCCUCAAAUAUGAGCUUUGCAAGAUGAGGUUCGUUUUGAGUUUUAUCCACCGAGACGUGUGUUCAUUUCACGCCUAGAACAGGACUGGCACAACCUGGGCGUCUGAUGGGUAGGUGUUAAGUGGUCUGAAUGAGCGAAAAGCGCAGUGCAGAAGCAAAGGGCACCUCGGAUAGCAGCAGGCGAAUGCUGAGGCUCAGCCAUCUUAGUUCUUAGCUGUCAUAGUGCUUCACAGGAAGGAGCAGCAUGACAGCUAAGACCCGAAAAGCAGAAAAACGAAAAGCAGAGCGGUGAAUGCGAGAUGAGGCUAGGGCCAUGCUUUUAAAAAUAACUGCAAUAAAGAGUUUGGCUGGCUUUUGUCCCCAGUUCCUAAGAAAGAGGGAACCUCUAAACUUUUAGAAUUUCCUGAGUGAUUUGAGUGUCUUUGUUAUUCAUGGAAAGGCCCUCAAACCACAAGACAGUUUCUGCUCGGGCGAUGACUCAGGAGAGGAGCGGGCCAGCCAGAAAGACCAACCAUGUGACUAGGAGACUGGGGCUUUGAACCAUAUGAUAUCAGUCUGACCUCCAGGGAGUAGAGGAGGCUGGAGACUGAGUUCAAACCCAAAUCAGUCAUGUCUGUGGAAUACAACCCGAAUCGAAACUCUGGACAGGAAGCUCAAGGAAGAUUCCCUGCUUGACGCUACUCUCUGGGCACCGUCGUACCUCGAUACCGAGAGGGUGCUGCACCCCGGAGGACGACAGAAGGUCCAGCUGCUCUGCUCACCUUACUAACACUGUGACCCCCACACCGUCCACCCUCCUUAUUCUACUUCCUUAUUUGGACAGAACUGUCUUCUACUACAUAUUUCCUCCACUAGGAUGUAAACUCCACGAGAGCAAGGAUUUUCGUUUGCUUUGUUCACUGCUGAACGCCCAGGGCCUGGAACAGCGCGUUGCACACAGCAGCCAUGUAACAGAUAUUCCUUGAAUGGAUGGAUUAAUGACUGAGUGGUUACUAGGCAGUUGGAUAAACAUGUCUGGAGCUCACAUGAGGCCUAAAAUGGAGACACACCUUUAUGUCACCUGUUUAUAGGUAAAAAUAGGGUCCAUGGGCUUAUAUGGAGUUUAGCCGAGGGAGAAAAAUGUAGGAUGAGAAGAGGCCCUAGGACCAGAUAUGGAGGAACCUCAACACUGAUGGCGAGGCAGAGGAGGAUGAGUCCGCAAAACAAACCAGAAGGAGCAAGUAGAGGUAGAAGGAACCAGAGGAGGGAUUCAAGAAAGCCCAGUGCUGCCGACAGCUCAAAGAAGAGGAAGAUCGAAAAAUGCCCAUUACGAUUAGCAACAGAGGUUACUGGGGACUUUAAGAGCCAACUCCAUCAGCUGGCUGAGACUAUAUGGGGAGAAAGCAAGACAUGCAUAGUUUGGGCCUCCGUGGACCUUACCUAAGUAAGGUAAGCAGAAAUAUGACGCAUACCAUCGCAAUGAGAACUACAGAGUCCUAUGGAAACAUAUAAUACAGUGAAUUAAUCUAAUCCGGGAAGCUGAAGGAAGCUAAUUAAACUAUCAUUUGUUUUUAAUCAUCCCUCAAAAAGGUACUUCUUUGGUAUUUUGGCAGUAGGAAAGGCACAGAUUAAGUUGGCUGUAUAUAACUUACAUUCUCAUUUGUUUUUUACGGUUGUCAUACGUAACCCAGAUGAGAACCUCGGGUUCUUAAGAUUAAAACAAACAAACAAACAAACAAAAACACUAGAUCUACCUCUAAACACUCUUUUUCAAUCUUGAAAAGCAAAGCUGAACGCUAUAAAACGUCUAUCCACUUAGUCACGAAGUCUCCUUUUUUAAAAGCAAGCACCUUAUUCCAAGAGUAUGGUAAAACUGUUAGAAUUGGUUUGCCCACAUGUGGAUUAAUCAGAAGCCAAACAUCUUCUGUAACAACCACAUAUGUUAAAGUCUAAUAUAAAAUCAUACUCCUAAUAAGAAUUUUAUUUACUAAAAUGGAGAUCUAAAUAUACAGAAAUUACAUUUUACUUGCAUAAUUGGCAGAAUUCUUUGGAGCAAUACUUUGCUCAAAGUACAAAGGGAAAAACAAUAUGUACAAUGUAUAACUCAGUUUCAGAGAUAUACAGUUACAGGCUAUAAAAAUGUCAUAAUUUGAAACCGAAAAGAGUAAGAAUAGUUAUUUUAAGCACAGUAAUCCAGGAAAAGUCUAGGAGUGUUUUCUAAAGAUCUUAUAAAAUAAUUAAGUUAUUUAUUAAAAGGAGUAUGGUAUCGGGGAAUUUCUGGGUGCUUAUAAAUGGAGUCCUGAGUUGUAUUAGUAAUAAUCGCAUAGUCAUAAAACUUUGUUAUUAUUGUAGACAUUUCACCUUCUAAAUAUAUUUCAUCAGUCAAGUCUUUCCCUUUAAACGUUGUUGGCCCUUUUCUCUCCCGUUUCCAAAAUGAUACAUCCUAGUUCAGAAUUUUUUCACCUUACAUUUUCCCAGCACUGAUUUUGGACUCAGAGAGAUCUGGGUUCAAGUCCCAAACCCACCACCUCUUACAGUGAUGGCCAAGUGACCUUGGGCACGCUGUUCAACAGAUCAGGCCUCAAUUCCAAAAUGACAAUACUUCCCACAACCGCCCGCUUUCUUGGUCUCUACCCUGUGCCUUUCCAAUCCCCGCCAUCCUCCGUAAGCCUACAUAUAAGUCUUAGCUAAAAGACCAAGUUCUCUGUCAAGUGUGACAAGCUCUCCAUCGCCUUAACAAAGCCUAACCACAAUUUUCCCCUCACGAUUCACUUGGCAGUAAACCAUGCACCAUCUUGUGAUCGCCCCUGCCCUGCUGACUCAAACUAAUUGAACUGUUUUUGUUUUUAACUUUAGGUAGGCCCCCUGAGGACACCGGCUGCAUCUCAUUUCUUUAAAAAAAAAAAAAACAUUUCCCAAGAAGUCACCCUGGGCCAAGGCCUAGGGAUGCGCAGAGGAGAAAGAGGGUUCUUAUUCCUGAGGAGCUCAAGCGAGGCCCAGUGGGGCAGCGGACCAGUGAAUUACAAAUGAGUUUAAGAAACGGUAUCGUUCCCAAAGGCAGACCUGCUUUUCCCAUGUCCAUUAUCGAUGACUUCGAAGAGCUGGUUGAGAAGGCAGCGCUGUACUAGGGGAGGCCACGUGGAGACAUGCCAGCGUGCCGUGGCAGAUGCUACAAAGUCCACGUGUCUGGCAACGAUGGGAAAAUGAAGAUUAAUACUUCUCGGAGCCCAGCUAACAGAAUGAAAAAUAAAUAAAGACGACUCUGCAUGUCAACUUAUAAGGAUCAGACACCCACUUCCUCAAUGGACAAAGAGAUAAAGAAGUUAGAUUCCUGCCAGCGCGUUUCGUCACUGCGUUCGUAGAUCCUUCUCACAAUCGCCGAUGUGGAUGGGCUUCCUCUCUGUGCUCGGCAUCGCUUUCCUGGGAAGUGCCAGGUGAUAAGACAAGCAGAACGGUUACUGAGAUGGACAGGCAAAGCGAAGGGACUCCCCGUUUCUCCUCUUUCACCAGCGGAAUGAGCAGCUCAGGAACAGCAACUAUGGAUGAAAACUUAAUUGCCAAGUACACCCCACGGCUUAUUUGUGGAGGGAAAUGUUCGUGACCUUUUGACCUUUCCGAUAGCUGGCGAAAGCGAAUCGGAGUGUCUGGAAAUGGGAUUGACCUGUGACAACAAUAUGAUUACUCAGCGGUGCGUUAUCGAAUUAUAAAUAAACGCAUGUGUAUUGGAUAUCGGUAUUAUUGGGAAUAACAACAUCAACAGCAGUAACGACACCUGUAAGACACAGAUUUUAAUUUUCCGACCAAAAUAACGUUUUCCAUUACUGUCGUCCAUUUUUUACUUUGUCAGUGAAGACGAGUUAAAGGAGAGUGAAUCGCACUGGGUGAUUAGGCCCGUUGCUGAAAUCCCAUUUGCAGUUCUGGCUGUGAAGGUGACAGAGGCGGCCACCUUGCGGUGUUCAGCUGGUCAGCCCCUCAGCCUUCCACAUCCCAUCUCGGAUCCGAUGGGUCAUCACAUCCUCGCUGUGCACGGAUCAGUGACGAUGCCACAGAUGUGACGCCCUUCCCUGCAGGCCGUGUUUGUCUCUCCAAACGUGCUGGUUCAGACCUUGUCGUCUUCAGAUUUAUUCCUCGUCCUCCCCUGCUCUGCUUUGCUUUGCAGAAAAACUGCCCCCCCUGCAGGCUGGGUUUCCCAGGCCUCUAAGUCGACCAGUUGCCUUCUGGACUCAGCCCUCGAGAAAUAAACACCAGUAGCAACCUGGAGGAUGCAAGGAAGGGCGGGCAGGUCACGGAAACUCUGUCUCUGCCUCCGGUGGCAUCUCUCCAGCAGCGGCAGCUCUUCUGCCGGCUUGAUGGGCUCCCCACGCUCCCUGCAUCCAGCUCAGAGGUGGCGGCACCUUCUCACCCGUGCUAAUUUCUAGGUUGCCUCAUCAUCUCAUUAGACUGUCACCAACAUAACCAGCUCCCUACGCGAAGGUCCUACCGUUCUAAAUACUCAGUGCUUUGUAUUCCCCGACAGGCCAGGACUGAGAUGCCAGACUAAAAAUCGCAGUCUCCUGAGGCUAGAUCCAUUUUUCCUUCAUUUCAGAUGCUCAUUUCUCAACAUUUUUUUAUCACAUCUUUUUGAUGCAGGACUCCAUAAAAUAUGGGGUUUUUCUCUUUUCCUCUUUUAAAGAACGUUUUGGGUUUGCGAGAAGAGAAAGAAGCAGCAUGGGGGGAGGGCAGCUGUGUAUAAGGCACUAGCUCAUCGUCUGUAUCCUGGGGUUCCCCUUUUUCUACACAGCAGGGCACGCAUUCUUGAUGAAGUCACACACACCCAGGGACAUGAUGUCAUCUUGCUUAUUGUGUUACAGACAGGUUUAAUAGUGCAUCGUUGCGUCUUAAACCCCGUGAUGGAACACACUCUUCUCCAGCAGCCAACCCCAGCAUCCAUCUGGUAGACAUGUUAGUCACCGACCCCAAGAGCUCAGCGUGUUUCUCCCCAUUGAGAGAGAACAGAAAUGACUCUCGCAGAUUUAAAGCUCAGUUUUACAACGCACCGAUGACGUCAUCAUCACGAGUGCUUUUUUUCUUUGUCUCUUCUUUCUCUGCCUUUUUAUUUUUUGCUUCCUCUCUCUUCCCCCUCCUUUCUGCGCUUCUCAGACCUCACCUGAGAUCAAAUAGCGUAACAGAGGGACACGCGUAUGCUGGAAAAUCAUUGGCAUCUGUCAUAGGCCAAACAAUCUGGAAGCUUUUCUACCACCGUCCACCCAAGGGCUUAACAGCUGCAUGGAAGGAUCAGGCACCAUAUCUCAAGGAAACCUUGCCUAUUGUGGGAGACCCAUGACUUCUAAUGUGGUAAAGAAAGUGCCCCCCGUUGGUUUUAUUAAUUGCCUUCCACCCACUUUUCCAAUCUGGAAGCUACAGAAUCAUUUUGACCGCUCUCUUCCCUCCCCAUCCCUACCCAAUGACAGUGUGUGCUCGCUCUCUAUUUCCAGUCUUGCUAAUUACUCCCACAGCCGACCCAGUGACAGCCAAUGGUCUGGCCACGCUCACCGUUUCCUGAAUUCUCCAUGGAAGCAUUCGCAUCUCUCUUGUUGUUUCUGUUUUUGUUGUUCUUCCUUAGCCCUUUCACAGCUUGGAAAAAACCCGACUUAUAAUUCAAAGUCCUUCGCAAAUGUCCCUUUCUCUGCGAAUAUCCCAGAUCGCACACAGAAUUGAUCUCGAAGUAAAUAUAUAUGUAUAUAUAAACUCCCAAGGAUAAGGGGAACAAGAGAGAAGAAAAUUCUGCAAGCUGGAAAGUAGAUAGAUAAACAGUAAAUGAGUUAGAUACCCGAGGAAAAGAAAGACUAAGCCAGCAUGGAGAAAACUGAAAACAAACCCAGAUUUAUAGUACAUAAUCUCCAAAGGCUCAAAAUUUGGCCUCAUCUGGUACCUUGAGAAGUAGGAGUAGAAGGGAGUGGAUAAAUUUUAAAAAUCGGUUGGAAGCAUUUUUUAUAAGAAACGGGCAGAUCGCCAGUUCCCUGGCUCACUAUGCCAGACUGUUCCACCCCAGUUUAUUGUCUAGAAAGAGCAGCAGGCACAGCUGAUGGUGCAGAUGUCUUACUUUAAAAAAUGGUGCAGUGCACGCUAAAAGCAAACACCCUCUCUCUGUGUGUCCUCUUGGCUCUCAGAACACUAGCUGCUGGGCAUGACAUUUAAAAAAAAAAAAAAAAUCUUCCAUGGGAAAUAUUUCUUUGCCAAAAAGAAGGAUAGAAAGAAAUUGACAGCAGAGAUUCUCCAUUAAAACCACCCAGCCAAAUCACUCUACAGUAAAACUGACGGUUAACAGUCCUCGUUCAUGCUCUUGGAACAGCAAAUCAGCUUCUGAGUGCCCUGCUCUUACACGCGAAAAUUGCCAGACCCCGGAGGAGAGCGUCCAACACGGAAAAUGCAGAACCAAGAAGAACCCAUGCUCCUCCCCCAAUCCAUCACACAAAGCAACUCGGCUAAGACGAUGAUUUGCAGAGAAAAGAAGACUUCGAUAUCUAGAACUUUUUAUUGCUGUUAUCAGGGAGAUAAAAUAUAAAUGCAACCAUGCAAUGAGAAUCAGAGAUUAUUUUUUAAAGGAAGGAAGACGUUGUUAGUAGAAGAGAAAUGUAUGAACAUCAUAGGACUAGGACGAGUAGUCCAAAAUCCAAACAAAAAACGGGAGUUCCAGAGAGAAUAGAGAUAUGGAGAGGAGGAAAACAUCAAUAAAAUUAUUCAAGAAAACUUUCCAAAAUGGAAAGACCAGAUUGAAACAGCUUACCAAAUACCCAGUUAAGGAAAUAUGAGUAGACUCCUAUGAAAGUAAAUCAUCGUGAAAUUUCAACAGAGAGAACUUAAAGGUUUUCAACGAUGAAAAAGAAAAAUAGGUCAUAUACAAAGGAUCAGGAAUCAGCCAGACUUUAGACUUCUCGGCAACCCCGAGAGGUCAAAGGCAAUAAAGCAAAGCCUGCAAAUUCUGAAGGGAAAUGAUCUCCAACCUAGAUGUCUAGACCCCGAUAAACCGUCAAUCAAAUACAAGGGUAAGAUAAAGAUAUUAUCAGGUCAACGACAUCUCGAAUAUUUAUCUCGCAGUUUCUCUUGCAUGGAAAAUAACUAGAUCAUGUGAUCAUCCAAGAAAGGUUAUUAACUAAGAGAAGACAUGGCAUCCAGGAAGUGGGAAACUCAAACAGGAAAAAGGCAAAGGAAUUUUCAAGAUGGCCGGGCAAAGAGAUGCCAGGAUGGAGCUAUGCCCUAGGAACAUGGCGACCACCAGUCCAGUUCGAGGAGCUCAGAAGGCUUGGGAAGAAAUUCUGGAAGAUGAGAUUGAAUGGCAAUCAACUGGCCCUGAAUGUCUUAAGAAAAAAAUUCAGACAAAUGACAAAGUGUUUGAGGUUGAAUUAGUAACAAGUACAUAUAAAACGAAGUAAAUUUAGAAAUGAGCAAAAAAAAGUAAUUCUAGGGAAAAUUACAAGUUGUGCAGAAAAGGAAAUGUAAACAGAUUUUACAUGACUCAUCUAUGAAAACGAUUUUCAUAGCCAUGAUAACAGAAUAUUUGCUUUAACCGGAAAUGCAACAUAAUGUUAUGGAGAGGCUGGCGGGCAGAAGGGUACACACGUGCAGUGAAAGGAAUAGGGCAAAGUCUCCUCUUUCCUAAGGGAAAGCCAAUAGAUUAAUUCUAAAACUGAAAAAUCAAGAAGUAGCAAUGCAACCGUGCCAUUAAAGACAUGGAAAUAAGCAGUACGAUAAUCAGCUAAAAGAAGUGACAGUGGCUAUCUCUGGGGAAAGAAAAACUCUACAGGACAAGAGCUACAAGAUGCUGGCACUUUUUUCUAAACGAUUUUUUUUUUUUUUUUUUUUUGGUAAAUCUUACAGAACUACGAGGAUGCUUAAAAUCUGUGAGCUAUAACAUUGGUCAAAAAAAAUCCCUGUCAGGCAAAGUUAAUUGCUCAUUCUUCCCUUGCGCAACUAAUGUCCCAUGAAUCAUGCUGCUUCAUGGCUACCUUUGUUUCUGUCAGCCUAUAAACCCUGAGCUCUUUUAGGCAGGACCUUCUCGUAUUCAUAUUUGUUUCCUGGCUCACCACAGAGCUGACAUUCAACAAACAUUUCUGAAAAGACUUAAAGAAUUAUUGGCCCUAAUUCCCCCACAUGGUAUUAUAGAAAUCGAGUCUAAGCCCUCUUUCAAAUAAAAAACUACCAAGUAUAGCCAUGCACAAUAUAAAAAUGUUUUUGUCAACAACAGACUGGGUAUAUGAUGGUGGUCCCAUAAAAUUAUAACGGAGUUGAAAAAUGCCUCUCGCCCAGUGAUGAUAUAAUGUUGUAGCGUGAAAGUACCAUAACCAUAUUUUUACUGUAUCUUUUCUAUGUUUAAAUGCACAAGUACUUACCAUUGUGUUACGGUUGCCUACAAUAUUCAAUACAGCCGCAUGCUAUGCAGGUUUGUAACCUAGGAGCAAUCGGCCGUAUCAUUCGGAUGAUAGGUAUUCCCUUUGUCUACAAAGAUACCAUGAAAAUCCUUGUCAAAUGCCUUGUCCAAGUAGCAAAAACUAUAACAAAAAUGAACAUUUAUCAUAUAUGUGCCAGACAGUAUGCUUAGAACAAAUAAUGUCAAUUUACAUAUUAAAGCUCAUUAAGUUUUUACAACUCUUACAACUACUGUAUUUUUCUGAUCUACCAAUCUAGUAAUACCAUCUUUUUGCUGCAUAUAUUUGUCAAAUGAAUUAAAUGCAUAUUGUCUUUUUAUACCUUCUCUUGGAAAGAAGUCUGUUCAACGUUCCCAAAAAUCCUGCGGUUUUUCAGAUUUUAGCGUUUUUGACACAAAACUUUCCUAAUAAAUUUAAUUAUCUAA